rnacentral:rRNA from 1 species
GGGCUUGACAUCCCACGAACCUCACCGAAAGGUGAGGGUGCCCGCAAGGGAGCCGAGAGACAGGUGGUGCAUGGCUGUCGUCAGCUCGUGCCGUGAGGUGUUGGGUUAAGUCCCGCAACGAGCGCAACCCUCACCCCUUGUUGCCAUCAGGUCAUGCUGGGCACUCUAGAGGAACUGCCCCGGUCAACGGGGAGGAAGGCGGGGAUGACGUCAAGUCAUCAUGCCCCUUACGUCCUGGGCUACACACGUGCUACAAUGGCCGGUACAAAGGGAUGCCACACCGCGAGGUAGAGCUAAACCCAAAAAGCCGGUCUAAGUUCAGAUUGGAGUCUGCAACUCGACUCCAUGAAGGAGGAAUCGCUAGUAAUCGCGUAUCAGCACGACGCGGUGAAUACGUUCCCGGGCCUUGUACACACCGCCCGUCACACCACGAAAGCCCGUUGUACUCGAAGUCGCUGAG